GUCUAAAAGGUGUUACCACGCUAUCUUUUCGAGAUAGAGAAGCUAAAUUUUUAGCCUUAGAUA
rnacentral:tRNA from 1 species